UUCCAUGGAGAGAGGAUUCCUCUUCCGGUUCGGAGGCGGAUGUUUAUGAGCAGGUUUGACAGGCGGGAAGCUCCGGGAGCGGCCGACUGUUUUCCUUCUAGGCUCUUCAGGCAAGCAGCUGAGUUUGGGGGCCAUUGCCAUGGACCCGCUCUCAGAGUUGCAGGAUGACCUGAAUUUGGAGGACACCAACCAGUCCCUGAGCCAGCUCAAAUUGGCUUCCUUAGAUGAUAAGAACUGGCCAGCAGAUGAAGUGCCUGUUUUUCCCAAGUCAGAGGACACUAACAACUCCCCUGAGCCCAUCACUCACCUGCGCUGGGAUGAUCCAUACUACGAUAUUGCUAGGCACCAGAUUGUGGAAGUAGCAGGUGAUGACAAGUAUGGACGGAAAGUCAUUUUGUUCAGUGCCUGCCGGAUGCCGCCCAGCCAUCAACUUGACCAUGUGAAACUACUGCAAUAUCUUAAGUUCACGCUGGAUCAGUAUGUGGAGAGUGACUACACAUUGGUGUAUCUGCACCAUGGCCUCACCAGUGAGAACAAGCCGUCCCUGAGCUGGCUGCGGGAUGCCUACCGGGAAUUUGACCGCAAGUACAAGAAGAACAUCAAAGCACUGUACAUUGUGCACCCAACAAUGUUCAUCAAGACUCUGCUGAUUCUCUUCAAGCCUCUGAUCAGUUUCAAGUUUGGACGGAAGAUUUUUUAUGCAAACUUCCUGAGUGAGCUGGAGGAGCAUGUGAAGCUGGAGCAGCUGGGGAUCCCAAGCCAGGUGCUAAAAUAUGACGAGUACCUGAAAUCACUGCAGAAACCCUCUCAAGUGCCCCAGAAGCCGCCACCCCCACGCCCACCCCUGCCAAACCAGCAGUUUGGGGUCUCUCUGCAGCACCUCAGGGAGAAGAGCUCUGAUCAGGCCCCCAUCCCGCUGGUGGUCAGGGAAACCAUUGCCUAUCUGCGGGAGCAUGCUCUGACCACAGAGGGGAUUUUCCGGAGAUCAGCUUCCACACAGAUUGUGAAAGAGGUCCAACAAAAAUACAACAUGGGGAUACAGGUGGAUUUCCAGCAAUACAGUGACAUUCACCUUGCUGCCGUGAUCCUCAAGACAUUCCUGCGGGAGCUGCCAGAGCCCCUGCUCACCUUUAGCCUCUACAACCACGUCGUCAACUUCCAGAAUGUGGAGGAGUCGAAUCGCGUGGAUGUUGUUCGCAAAACCCUCCAGACCCUGCCCGAGGAAAACUACCAAGUGCUCCGUUUCCUGAUGGCCUACCUGGCAGAGGUCUCCACUCACAGUGAUGUAAACAAGAUGACGAACACCAACCUGGCCGUGGUUUUCGGCCCAAAUCUGCUGUGGGAUAAAGAUGUAGCCAUCACCCUCAAGGCCAUCAACCCCAUCAACACCUUUACCAAGUUCCUGCUGGACUAUCAGGGAGAGGUGUUCCAGGAUGUGGAGGCCUGAGCCGGGGCCCGUCCACACUAGCACACUGUGCCCACCUUCCCUCUCCCUCUUCCUAUCUUGUUGGAGCCAUGGCCAGGAGCCUCCAGCACAGAGGGUCCAUUGGAGCUGCUGAGCUGACACAGGAACACUCCUGGGUCCCUUGUUUGUCUGCUGGCCAGUCUCUGAUCCCGGCUGGUGAGUGGAAUUUUUUCCAGCAAAAAUAUAAGUCAGAAUGUGGCCUGAAGGGAAGGGCCUGUGCACUGAGGCCAAACGUUAGCCAGUGUGCGAGGCCUGGAUCGCAGGAACCUUCCCAGGUGCUGAGCUCUCAUGUGCCAAAGCCACUAGGGCAGAACUGUGCCAUGCAGCAUUCCCCUAGCCUUUCAGGGGAGCUGCUUUGAUGCACUCCUUAUGUGCUAGGCAGCUAGGGAGGGAGCUGGCUCUCUACAGGCCAGGCUCAGGAACAGAGCAGGCCAGAUCCCCUCCUGAGGCAGUUGCACUGCAGUCACUGCCUCAGGGUUGAUUUUAGUGUGGAGCGAUCCCCGCUGCCUCUGCCACAUGCUAAAGUAACAGAGAGCUAGUGUUUCCUGGCCAUGGCUUCCAUGCUUGAGCGAUACUCUCCGUUUCUAGCCUCAUUCCCCAAGACCCAUAAUUCUCGUGCCCUGCUCCCCCAGGCCAGUCCUGGUCCCAGCUGCGCCACAGCAGUGGGGAAACAUUGGGACCAAGCAGAGCUCGUUUUAUAAAGUGGCAGUGGAUCUGCUUUUAAUAGGAUUUUAACCUGCCCUAGAAUCUGACCGAAGGCUGAUAUCCUGAUAUAAAAAUACGACAAACUACUGAUGAGCAUCAACAACAGGAAGGGGGUCUCCUCUGCGAGGCCCAGGAGCAGGGACCUAGAACUGGCAAGAACUGUCAGGCCUGCAGUGCAACCCAGGCCCAGUUCAGCAGCUCUAGCUAUUGCUGAUUGAUUGACUGCUCUUGGGAUGACCCACAGAAGGGUGAGCUGGGCAAGUGGAGGAGCGGAGAAUUCUGAGGAGGGCUGGAGAACAGGCUGUGCACAGCUUGGAGCCACCCAUCCCACCCUGGCUACCGAGUGAAUCUCUCUGGUGGGGAGGGACCAGGCCUGGAGCUGGACAUGCUGGUGUGAGAGUUGAAUUUCUGGGACACGAAUGCCCUUUGCUGUGAAUAAGUCCAUAGUGAUGGUUUGGGUGGGUCACAGAGGGCUUCUAGUUCACUUUGACUUCUGCUAGAUCCAGCAUGGAGGAUAGAUCUGCCAUGGAGGCUUCUUGGGAAAGCUGGAGGGACUCAGUGCUCCUAUUGAGGUCAGGGGUGGGGCAGUGUAGGAAGAGCCCUACGCUUGCCCCAUGUUAGGCCAUGCUUAGUGGGAUGCUCUGGAAAGGGGUGUUGUCUGCAUGAUCGCAUAUCACAGCUUCUGUCUCCCCACUCUAAAGGGAGCAUCCUCUCCUGCAUGUAUUUCAGAGUGAAGCUAAGCUGGGUUUGCUGAUGUUAUCCAGGCCAUAGCUAAAUGUUUCUUGGCUUCACUGUCCCCAGAGGAAAGGAAAAGCCUGCUGGCCUCCUUGGGAACAGGCAGAAUCUUAAGGCCAGUAGCCCAGAACAGAAAUUCCUCAUGGGCUGGGGCACAAGGACCUGGCUGCAGGCUCAGCUGCUGCUACCUGCAGUGAGUUCCAGCUGGGAGCACUGAAUCCUGGUCUGCUCGGUGUUGAAAAAAGCAGGGCUGGACAGCCGAGGGGCAGGGGCAGGCUGAGGCUGCACUUGGGGAAGGCAUUUCCUUAGCCUCCCAGAGACACUUUAACAAAAAAAAUUCUAAGUAGUUAAAAUUCCUGAGUUUAUGGGCUUUCCCACUGAGUGUAACGGGACCUGCUGCAAAUCCCUGUGCUAGGGGAUAACCCAGCUCCUGGGGCAGAGCCCUGCAUAGGCAAGGGAGUUGACUUGGAGAAAAGGCAGGCUCUUGGUACUGCAGAUGGUGGGAAUGGGCUCGCAAGGUCUUGGGAGCGCUCCAGUGUAAAUAUUCCUUUACCCACCCUCUGCCUGGUCCCCCAGUGCUGCCAAGAGGCCUGGAACAGGCAUAGCAGUGGUGGCUACUUUGUUUCUGCAAUUUAUGCUUUGGGAUGCCUUUUACGAAGACACUACUCUUGUGGCUUGUGUGUGAAACUGUGGCCUGGGCCUGACUGCAGCCCUUGGCUCCCCACGCCAGGUGGCAGGUGGGCAACUGAGUCCAUGUCUCUGCCAACUCAGGACUGAAUUGCCUUCCUAGUCUAUCUGCCUCCUUGGGUGUACGGCCUGAGGCAGAGCUGGGAGGGAGGCAGCAUGCAGGUAGCUGGAGUGGCUAGAGGACCAGCCUUGGCCCAAGAGACUAGGCUCUAGUCCUUGCUACCUGUAAGAGGCGGUUGGUGGCAGGUUAGGGACCCAUGGUUACUCUGUGUAUUUGUCUCCCAUAAUGUGUCCUACUCCUGGGUACAGCUGCCCAAGAGCCCCUUCCCCAGGCUUCCAUAUUAAAUAUUGGCCACAGUGGCCCUUUGAGGGUGACAUGUUUUGUCUCCUCUCUGUGCCCUGCUCUGCAGCACCCAAUUUCCCUCCUCCCCUCAUUCCAGUGGUGUCUGAGCAGCCUGGGCCAGACUUCACAACUGGCCCCAGCUGUCAGCCCUCUGUCCGUCUCUUCUGGAAACAGAGCCUUUGGGUGAUGCAGGUGAGGGCAAGGUCAAUUUGAUGCCUUAUGGUAACCCCUCUGCUGACUCAGCAGAGACCUCUGAGGGACAAACUAGCCCCUGGUUGCUCUUUCAAGCAGUGGUGCUUUAGUGCAAUUUACAGCUUUGCUUUUUGUUGCUGGUGUUCCCUGCCUUCUCUCCAGUUGAUGUUCAGCAGGUAAGGGCUGGGGUUUUUACGGUGACAUUAAUUCACAUCCAUGUUUAUUUCCUUCUACACUGCACCAAUCUUGUAUUUCACAGUUUGCACUUUUUGUAUUUCAAUAAAAACCAAAACUCAGCCCCA